rnacentral:rRNA from 1 species
AUGGGGUCGCGCUCCUGUGGCGGAGACCUAGCUGCCGCCGCUUCCUCCCGCACGCCUCCUCCUCUCUCUCCCUUCCUCCCGCAGCCGCCUCCCUCCCUCCCGUGCGCCUCCUCUCCUCCCCCCGCCUCCCUCAGCCACAUCGCCGCCGCCACCACCCGCCUCCCCACUCGGACGAACCCCUCUCCUCUUCCCCCGCCUCGCCUCUCUCCCUUCCCCCGUCCAAACCCUAGGCCCGCGCCCGCCGGCCGCCGCCGCCGCCGCUUGCCCAGGCCAUCCUCCCGCUGUGAAGGAAGCGGCCAGAGAGGAAGGGCGUCGCCAGGUGUGCAUGUGCCUCCGCGGAUUCGUGCCACGAUUGCCGGAGGCGUGGGCGCCACGGGUCACCUCUCCAGAUCGGUGGAGGCCAAGGGCAAGGGCAAGGAGGAGGGGAGAAGAAGACCUUCGGCCAGCUGCGGGAAGCCGCCGCUGGCGUCCUCCGCGGCAUCCACCGGCGCCGGUGGCGGGCAGAAGCGCAAGUGCCACGACCACACGCACUCCGAGAACGUCGCCGGUGGAAAGUACGGCGCCUCCGGUGGCCGCUGCCACUGCUCCAAGCGCAGGAAGUCCCGGGUUCGGCGGAUGACUCGCGUGCCGGCAAUCAGCUCGAAGGCGGCGAAGAUCCCCGCGGACGACUUCUCGUGGCGCAAGUACGGGCAGAAGCUGCCUGUGGAGAAUGCCCUGGACUCAGCAGUUGACGUAACUCGGUUGAGCUGCGGUGCGCUAUAUUUAGCUGAUUUUAUUGGGAAGGGAAGAGGUAUGAAAUUCUCAACUUAG